rnacentral:rRNA from 1 species
GGUAACGCUAGCGUAUACAUGCAAGUCGAGCGGACAGAUGGGAGCUUGCUCCCUGAUGUUAGCGGCGGACGGGUGAGUAACACGUGGGUAACCUGCCUGUAAGACUGGGAUAACUCCGGGAAACCGGGGCUAAUACCGGAUGCUUGUUUGAACCGCAUGGUUCAAACAUAAAAGGUGGCUUCGGCUACCACUUACAGAUGGACCCGCGGCGCAUUAGCUAGUUGGUGAGGUAAUGGCUCACCAAGGCAACGAUGCGUAGCCGACCUGAGAGGGUGAUCGGCCACACUGGGACUGAGACACGGCCCAGACUCCUACGGGAGGCAGCAGUAGGGAAUCUUCCGCAAUGGACGAAAGUCUGACGGAGCAACGCCGCGUGAGUGAUGAAGGUUUUCGGAUCGUAAAGCUCUGUUGUUAGGGAAGAACAAGUACCGUUCGAAUAGGGCGGUACCUUGACGGUACCUAACCAGAAAGCCACGGCUAACUACGUGCCAGCAGCCGCGGUAAUACGUAGGUGGCAAGCGUUGUCCGGAAUUAUUGGGCGUAAAGGGCUCGCAGGCGGUUCCUUAAGUCUGAUGUGAAAGCCCCCGGCUCAACCGGGGAGGGUCAUUGG